rnacentral:rRNA from 1 species
UACGUAGGGGGCAAGCGUUGUCCGGAUUAUUGGGCGUAAAGAGCGUGUAGGCGGCUUGGAAGGUCAGCUGUGAAACUCGAGGCUCAACCUCGAGACGUCGGUUGAAACCACCUGGCUAGAGUCCGGAAGAGGAGUGUGGAAUUCCCGGUGUAGCGGUGAAAUGCGCAGAUAUCGGGAAGAACACCCGUGGCGAAGGCGGCACUCUGGGACGGUACGUGACACUGAGGAGCGAAAGCG